rnacentral:rRNA from 1 species
GACGAACGCUGGCGGCGUGCUUAACACAUGCAAGUCGAACGGAAAGGCCCUGCUUUUGUGGGGUGCUCGAGUGGCGAACGGGUGAGUAACACGUGAGUAACCUGCCCUUGACUUUGGGAUAACUUCAGGAAACUGGGGCUAAUACCGGAUAGGAGCUCCUGCUGCAUGGUGGGGGUUGGAAAGUUUCGGCGGUUGGGGAUGGACUCGCGGCUUAUCAGCUAGUUGGUGGGGUAGUGGCUUACCAAGGCUUUGACGGGUAGCCGGCCUGAGAGGGUGGCCGGCCACAAUGGGACUGAGAUAGGGCCCAGACGCCUACGGGCGGCAGCAGUGGGGAAUAUUGCACAAUGGGCGGAAGCCUGAUGCAGCAGCGCCGCGUGCGGGAUGACGGCCUUCGGGUUGUGAACCGCUGUCGCCUGUGACGAAGCGUGAGUGACGGUAAUGGGUAAAGAAGCACCGGCUAACUACGUG